AGUGAACGUUGGCGGCGUGGAUUAGGCAUGCAAGUCGAGCGAUCGUAGCAAUACGGGAGCGGCAAACGGGGUAGGAAUACAUCGGAACGUACCUUUUGGUUGAGAAUAGCGUUGGGAAACUGACGGUAAUACUCAAUAAAGUCGAGAGACCAAAGGUUUACUGCCGGAAGAGCGGCCGAUGCGAUAUUAGGUAGUUGGUGGGGUAAUGGCCUACCAAGCCUGAGAUGUCUAGGGGGUGUGAGAGCAUGGCCCCCACCACUGGGACUGAGAUACUGCCCAGACACCUACGGGUGGCUGCAGUCGAGGAUCCUCGUCAAUGGGCGAAAGCCUGAACGAGCGACGCCGCGUGCGGGAUGAAGGCCCUUGGGUUGUAAACCGCUGUCAGGGGGAUGAAACCGUAAGGUUGACAGAGCCCCAGAGGAAGCACGGGCUAAGUCGUGCCAGCAGCCGCGGUAAU
rnacentral:rRNA from 1 species